UACAGAGGUCUCAAGCGUUGUUCGGAUUCAUUGGGCGUAAAGGGUGCGUAGGCGGUGCGGUAAGUCGGGUGUGAAAUCUUGGAGCUUAACUCCGAAACUGCAUUCGAUACUGCCGUGCUUGAGGACUGGAGAGGAGACUGGAAUUUACGGUGUAGCGGUGAAAUGCGUAGAUAUCGUAAGGAAGACCAGUGGCGAAGGCGGCCCUCUGGUCCAGUACUGACACUCAAGUGCGAAAGCGUGGGGAGCAAACAGG
rnacentral:rRNA from 1 species